AAUAGAAGAAUGACAAAUCAGGUUUUUCCUCCUAAUUUUUUAGCUUUUUCCUCCUCAAAAAAUUUAAAUUCAACUAAAAAUACUAAAAAUGAGGAGGAAAAAUCUGAUUUGUCAUUCUCCUGUU
rfam:Gossypium raimondii Chr09_contig_383, whole genome shotgun sequence.